CAGCAGCCGCGGUAAGACAGAGGAUGCAAGCGUUAUCCGGAAUGAUUGGGCGUAAAGUGUCUGUAGGUGGCUUUUCAAGUCCGCCGUCAAAUCCCAGGGCUCAACCCUGGACAGGUGGUGGAAACUACCAAGCUGGAGUAUGGUAGGGGCAGAGGGAAUUUCCGGUGGAGCGGUGAAAUGCAUUGAGAUCGGAAAGAACACCAACGGCGAAAGCACUCUGCUGGGCCGACACUGACACUGAGAGACGAAAGCUAGGGGAGCAAAUGGGAUUAGAUACCCCUGUAGUCCCUGUCUCUUAUAU
rnacentral:rRNA from 1 species